GAUGAACGCUAGCGGCAGGCUUAAUACAUGCAAGUCGAGGGGCAGCAUGAGUGUAGCAAUACAUUUGAUGGCGACCGGCAAACGGGUGCGGAACACGUACACAACCUUCCUAUAAGUGGGGAAUAGCCCAGAGAAAUUUGGAUUAAUACCCCGUAACAUAAUGAUGUGGCAUCACAUUAUUAUUAUAGCUACGGCGCUUAUUGAUGGGUGUGCGGCUGAUUAGAUAGUUGGCGGGGUAACGGCCCACCAAGUCUACGAUCAGUAGCUGAUGUGAUGGCAUGACCAGCCAAACGGGAACUGAGACACGGGCCGGACUCCUACGGGAGGCAGCAGUAAGGAAUAUUGGUCAAUGGACGCAAGUCUGAACCAGCCAUGCCGCGUGAAGGAUUAAGGUCCUCUGGAUUGUAAACUUCUUUUAUCUGGGACGAAAAAAGGCGAUUCUUCGUCACUUGACGGUACCAGAUGAAUAAGCACCGGCUAACUCCGUGCCAGCAGCCGCCGUAAUAC
rnacentral:rRNA from 1 species